GGGAGAGAAGAGAAGGGAAGGCAAGGAAAGGAAGGGAAAUAAAGUGAAGGGAAAGACAAUUAAGUGCCUACUAUAGGCAAGGGACUGUGAUAAAGAAACUGAGACCCAGAGAGGAUGAAAUUUGCUCAAGAUGAUAUACGUGGAGGUGGAGUCAAGAUGGCUGCCUAGAGUCAGCAAAAGUUCAGACCCCUGAAAACCCUUCAUUACUGACUAAAAAACAAAUGCUCCUAGGUGACUGAAAACCAAAUCUAACAACAGGACAGAGCUAAGGAACCAUCCUGCUAGACUCAACUUAAAAGUAUGCCCCCCAAAAGCCUGAAUUCUAGAAUGCUUGGAUUUAAGGGGAAGGAAGAAG